GGAGGCCCUUCUCCAGAGUAGACAGGAGGGAAUCGCCAGCAGCAGCAGCCCCGGCCUGAGGGUGAAGACAAAGGGGCAAGAGGGGCCUGUGAAGAGGCCCAGCAGGAGAGCCGUGCAGGGGACACGGAGCAGGAAUGCCAGGGGGGCUGCUGGGGCCCUCCAGGAAAGGCUGUCUAUGAGCCAUUAUUAAUCAGGCUUAUACUUCUAUGACUUCUUAAUAAUAACACUUUGUAUUUAUCCCCCAUUUAUGAUGUGCCCACCACUGUGCUGAGCAUCCUGUGCACUCUGCUUCAUGUAACCUCCACAAACACCCUAUGAGUGUGCGUCCGUUUGCAGGGAUGGGGCGGAAGGAAAGCGGGAGAAGCCGCGGUGCAGACGCGCCCGACGCGAGGCCGCGCACAGACAGCACUGCGGACUCCGCGCUCCCGCCCCUGGCUCCCAGCCUGGAAAACGCCGCUUCUCUGAAGCUUGCCUUCGAUGAAGCAGAGGGUCUCCAGCGAUGGCAUUUCCCGCAGUGUCACAGGAUAUGGGUAAGGUAUCUGGCUCAUAAGAGGUCUACGACAGAAAGUAAUCACCAUUAUUUGGCAAUUAAUCAGACCGUGCCCCAUCAUUUCCCACAUCGCAAUCAGGAG
rnacentral:lncRNA from 1 species